rnacentral:rRNA from 1 species
GACCUGACUGCUAUCGGAUUGAUACUAAGCCAUGCGAGUCAUUGUAGUAAUACAAGGCAUACGGCUCAGUAACGCGUAGUCAACCUAACCUAUGGACGGGAAUAACCUCGGGAAACUGAGUAUAAUGCCCGAUAGAACAUUAUGCCUGGAAUGGUUUAUGUUCCAAAUGAUUUAUCGCCGUAGGAUGGGACUGCGGCCUAUCAGUUUGUUGGUGAGGUAAUGGCCCACCAAGACUAUUACAGGUACGGGCUCUGAGAGGAGUAGCCCGGAGAUGGGUACUGAGACACGGACCCAGGCCCUAUGGGGCGCAGCAGGCGAGAAAACUUUGCAAUGUGCGAAAGCACGACAAGGUUAAUCCGAGUGGUUUCUGCUAAAGGAACCUUUUGUUAGUCCUAGAAACACUAACGAAUAAGGGGUGGGCAAGUUCUGGUGUCAGCCGCCGCGGUAAAACCAGCACCUCAAGUGGUCAGGAUGAUUAUUGGGCCUAAAGCAUCCGUAGCCGGAUCUGUAAGUUUUCGGUUAAAUCUGUACGCUCAACGUACAGGCUGCCGGGAAUACUGCAGAUCUAGGGAGUGGGAGAGGUAGACGGUACUCGGGAGGAAGGGGUAAAAUCCUUUGAUCUCUCGAUGACCACCUGUGGCGAAGGCGGUCUACCAGAACACGUCCGACGGUGAGGGAUGAAAGCUGGGGGAGCAAACCGGAUUAGAUACCCGGGUAGUCCCAGCUGUAAACUAUGCAAACUCAGUGAUGCAUUGACUUGUGGUCAAUGCAGUGCUGCAGGGAAGCCGUUAAGUUUGCCGCCUGGGAAGUACGUACGCAAGUAUGAAACUUAAAGGAAUUGGCGGGGGAGCACCAC